UACGAAGGGUGCAAGCGUUAAUCGGAAUUACUGGGCGUAAAGCGUGCGUAGGUGGUUUCUUAAGUCUGCUGUGAAAGCCCUGGGCUCAACCUGGGAAUGGCGGUGGAUACCGAGGAGCUAGAGUGCGGUAGAGGAGGGUGGAAUUCCCGGUGUAGCGGUGGAAUGCGUAGAGAUCCGGAAGAACACCGGUGGCGAAGGCGGCCCGCUGGGCAGUGGCUGACGCUGAGGCGCGACAGCGUGGGGAGCAAACAGG
rnacentral:rRNA from 1 species